CCGCGAAUGGCUCAUUAUAACAGCUAUAAUUUACUUGAUCUUGACACAAUCCUACUUGGAUAACUGUGGUAAUUCUAGAGCUAAUACAUGCAUUAAAGCUCUGACCUCACGGGAAGAGUGCAUUUAUUAGAACAAAACCAAGCGGCUUCGGCUGUUUCUGGUUGACUCAUAGUAACUGAGCUGAUCGCAUGGUCUUGCACCGGCGACGUGUCUUUCAAGUAUCUGCCGUAUCAACUUUCGAUGGUAGUGUAUCUGACUACCAUGGUGAUCACGCGUAACGGAGAAUAAGGGUUCGGCUCCGGAGAGUUCGCCUGAGAAAUCGCGAACACAUCUAAGGAAGGCAGCAGGCGCGAAAAUUACCCACUCUCAGCACGAGGAGGUAGUGACGAAAAAUAACGAGACCGUUCUCUUAUGAGGCCGGUCAUCGGAAUGGAGUACAAUUUAAACCCUUUAACGAGUAU
rnacentral:rRNA from 1 species